UUUGGGGAGUAAAAAGUUUUCCAUAUAUAAAAUUAUGAAAUAUAUAACUUAACUGAUUAUUAGUAUUUCUCACCUUGCAGUAUUUAAUGGAGAAAGCAAAAAUUAUACAUAAUUGAGAAUUACUGAUUUGAUUGCUUUUUUGUUAACAGUCUGUGAAAACUUUUAUGAUUGUUUCAUGCUGGGGCCUUAUGAAAUUACAAAAACUACAAUAAGUGACCAUAGAUGAGCAACCAAGACCUCACAUGGAAUAUUCAAAGAUUUCCAUUCAGAGCCAAGAUGGUUGCCAGCAUGUCCAGUAUGCAAAUAUGUUACUGACAGGGACAGUCUCAAGUGGGGAAAUGUCUAUCCACAUCUUUUCCCUUCCAUACUUCAUAGACAAUAUGG